GGAGACGUAUCGAAGUGGUCAUAACGAGGUGCACUCGAAAUGCAUUUGCCGGUUUAUCCCGGCGCGUGGGUUCGAAUCCCACCGUCUCCGCCA
rnacentral:tRNA from 1 species